rnacentral:misc_RNA from 1 species
UUCCCGCCAACACGCGCGUUCUCUUUUCAAAUCGCUAUCAAACUGCGCGACCAUUGUUUUUAUUACUUUUUAAAACAAAAUAAUUUGUUUUUAAUUAGUUAAGAGGUUUUAGAUGCCUACCUACCGACUUAUUUUUUAAUUAUACAUAUUAGGUUAUUAAUUAAAAAUGUUGACAUUAAAGCAGAUAGUGAUAUUUUUACUAGUAAAUUCAGUGUUAAGUGAGAAAGUGUUCCAAAGUGUUCCAGUGACUGUGAAAACUUAUGAGAAUGAUACUGUUCUCUUACCCUGUUACAUAAAUGAUUCUGAAGCGAAGCUGCGCGUGCGCUGGUACAAAGACAACCAGCUACUCGGCGACAGUGCGGACCCCAACCACCUCCUCCCCCCGCGGACACGGAUGCACGCUAAUUAUAGUUUACAAGUUGACUUGCUGAAAGCUGAAGACACGGCUGAUUAUACUUGCGAGGUAAUCCGUCCAGAACCUUGGGGACCCAUAAGACAAACACAUUCUAUUGAAGUUCAAUACUCCCCAACUAUAAAGACGAUACCAGAAGACGGCUUCCUGGAGGUGAAGAAGGGAGAGUAUGUGGACAUCGGCUGCGACGUCUCCGGGACACCAGCACCUAUCGUGGACUGGAGGAAGAAUGGGGACCCAAUGGCUCUACUGGAGCACCGUUCCCGCAUCAGGUUCAAGGCUGAACACCGCCUGCUGGCCGGCGUGUACGAAUGUACCGCCAACAACGGAGUGGGGGCCCCUGUCAGCGCGCACAUACGUGUCCUUAUACAUGACGCCCCAGUAGUGACAGCUGAGCGUACAUUCGUGCAUACAGCGAUAGGGCUCCGCGCGGCGCUUGAGGCUCGCAUCGAGUUCGCCGUGCCGCCCGCGCGCACCGCUUGGUACCGGGAUGGGAGGCCCGUCCAGACCCAUGAUGACAGGAUAGUGAUGAUGGUAAAAGACAACCUGCACCAGCUGAUCUUCCGUUCUGUCCGUCUGUCUGACCUGGGCAACUACACCUUCAGAGCUCAGAACAAACUGGGCAUGGCUGACAUUGCCUUCAAACUUACAGGGGUUCCUAACGCCGCAUCAUUCAAAGUGGAUUCUGCGCUGAACAAACCAACAUCAACCAGUUUUACCCUUAUUUGGGAAGUAGACUCCUACUCUACUAUUAUUGAAUACAACCUAUGGCUGCGUCCAUACUUCGGCAGGACAUCAGAGGUUGACGGGAUCACGACGGAGCCGCCAGUCAACAUGUGGAGGAAGAUCGUCGUGCCUGGAGACGCUAAUGAUGGACCAAUCCAUAGCGCAAGGUACACCGUCAGAGGGCUAACUCCAUCCACUGUUUAUGAAGCUAUCGUCACUUCAAGGAACAGAUUUGGCUGGAGUAAACAAUCGGCCGUCUUGCAUUUCGCUACGGAGCCAGGAACGGGUCGUAGGCCAUCCACAGCAGACUACUCAGAAAUCACACCGUUACUGGAGGAACCAGAAUCGGACUCCGAGCCACAGGCACACAACAUCACUCAAGCUCAGGUGUUUGGGCGGGAAAGUUCAAGCGGGGCGCGGGAAACGCCAUCUUUGUCCGCCAUUUUGUUUAUCGUUGGAAGUUUAGUUUGUUUUGUCUCGUACAACCAUAACUCAGUUUAAUAUUCAAAUAAAGUACAUUACUUAUCAGUAAUUUAUAUCCUACAAAUGAGUUUUUACUUUUUUAAACAAAACUUUACCAGUUCGGCAAUAACUAUUAUGUAAGUGCCUACAACGCGCAAAACAAUGAAAAUUAAUAAUUAUUAACAUUUAAAAAGAAUAAAAUAUAUACGUAUUAUUUUCCCCAGAAAAUAAUGUAAAUAGGUAAGUUUAUUCAUUUGAUUCAUUAGCAAUGAAAGUUGAAAAUAUAUUGCCAGAGCUAAAUAACACCGCAAUUCGUCCAGAAAAUGAAUAAGUUAAAGAUUUAAUUAGUAUAUAAUGUUCCUUCUUUACUUUUAACUUUACUUCUAUAGCGCUAUUUUAUAAUUAAUAGUUAUUUAUAAGUUUAAAAUGUAAAUAAUUGACAUUAUAUUUUGCUAAUGAAAUAAAAAUUAUGUUUUAUUUCUCUUUUUAAGUCUUUCAGCCGGCUCGGGUAAGCAUCAUAUUAUUGCUACAAUUAAUAAACAACGAUAAUAUUUUUAUUACGAUUAUUUAUUCCAUAUUUCAAUACAUUUAAUUUUAUUAAUUAAACAACCAACUGACACCGCUGGGGCGCCUUACAAAUUUACUUUUUGGUUUGUUAUAAUUUUAUCUGCUUUUACAUAUUUCCCAAUGUAUUAAUUUUAACCUUAAAAAUAUAAUUUAAAAUUACUACAGUAAAUAUUUUUAAAGUCUCUUUAUAUUUCUAGCUUUUUAUGUUUAGUUUUUGGAAAACGGAAAAUAUUAUAAAUUGGAUAUAUCGCUUUUCGAUUUUUAGAUUAAAAAACAAAUAGUUAAAAUACAGUUCCUUAAUGUUAAACACUUAACAUUUAUUACAUUAUAUAAUUAAAAACUAGAAGAAUAAUUAAUGAAUUAAUUACGCGGAGUAAUAUUUUGUUCUGAAAAAAUAAGGUUCUUUCUUAUGUUGAGGUCCGUCACUCGAUAAUUCUGGUGUCUGUGUGUUACGGCCUUAACUAACAGCUUUUGGUUCCCGUCAUCUAAUGCUCGCAAUCACAUUUUCUAUGUCUACAUUCAAGAAAAUCGUGAUCGCAAUCGAAAAAUAUAAAA